rnacentral:rRNA from 1 species
UACAGAGGGUGCGAGCGUUGUUCGGAAUUAUUGGGCGUAAAGGGCGCGUAGGCGGUGCGGUAAGUCACCUGUGAAAUCUCCUGGCUCAACUGGGAGUCUGCAGGCGAAACUGCCGUGCUGGAGUGUGGGAGAGGUGAGUGGAAUUCCCGGUGUAGCGGUGAAAUGCGUAGAUAUCGGGAGGAACCCCUGGGGCGAAAGCGGCUCACUGGACCACAACUGACGCUGAGGCGCGAAAGCUAGGGGAGCAAACAGG